rnacentral:rRNA from 1 species
UUCCGGUUGAUCCCGCCGCCGGCCACUGCUAUCAGGUUUCGGCUAAGCCAUGCGAGUCUAGGGAUCGCAAGAUACCGGCAUACUGCUCAGUAACACGCGGAUAAUCUGCCCCCAGGUGAAGAAUACCCUCGGGAAACUGAGGCUAAUACUUCAUAAUCACUAUAUGCUGGAAUGCUUUGGUGAUGAAAGAAUUUCGCCUGAGGAUGAGUCUGCGGCCUAUCAGGUCGUAUGUGGUGUAAUGGACCACAUAGCCUAAGACGGGUACGGGCCUUGAAAGAGGGAGCCCGGAGAUGGACUCUGAGACAUUAGUCCAGGCCCUACGGGGCGCAGCAGGCGCGAAAACUGUGCAAUGCGCGAAAGCGCGACACGGGAAGCCUGAGUGCCUUAACACAGUUAAGGCUUUUCUCAAGCCUAAAAAGCUUGAGGAAUAAGAGCUGGGUAAGACGGGUGCCAGCCGCCGCGGUAACACCCGCAGCUCGAGUGGUGGUCACUUUUAUUGAGCCUAAAGCGUUUGUAGCCGGAUCCGUAAAUCUCCAGGAAAAUUCCUUCGCUCAACGAAGGAUCUUCUGGAGAGACUGCGGAUCUAGGGACCGGGUGAGGUUGAAUGUACUUCUGGGGUAGGGGUAAAAUCCUGUAAUCCUGGAAGGACGACCGGUGGCGAAGGCGUUCAACUAGAACGGAUCCGACGGUGAGGAACGAGGGCUAGGGGAGCAAACCGGAUUAGAUACCCGGGUAGUCCUAGCUGUAAACACUGCCCACUUGAUGUUGCAUCUCCGUGUAGGGGGUGCAGUGUCGUAGCGAAGGUGUUAAGUGGGCCGCUUGGGGAGUAUGGUCGCAAGGCUGAAACUUAAAGGAAUUGGCGGGGGAGCACCACAACGGGAGGAGCGUGCGGUUUAAUUGGAUUCAACGCCGGAA